AGAGAAGACCCAUUCUGCAAGAGUAUGACAC
rnacentral:piRNA from 1 species